CAUUCCUUUGUCUUGUAAGGGAGGUUGCUAGUUGGAAGGUUUUUGAAGCUUGGUUUUCAGCUGGGCUAUUUUUUCAAAACUCUCUUUUCCGGCCAUCGUAGGAGUGGUCUUGGAUCUCAUUUUGCACUUAGGCAAUACCAGAUCAAGAGUGGUAGACCGGGGUGGAUCUUUAAAGACUUCCUGUAGAUGUUGCUUGUCCUGUUGUAAAAUUGUAGUUCUUGUCAUUGUCUAUCACUGUGUUCCUAUAUUUUGUAUUUUUGGACUUCUUAUAUCUUUGCAUUGUAUACUCUGUAGAGUCUGUAAUCCUGUAACUCAUUUGGUUUGUUUUAGUUUUGUUUGUCCUAAAUCAGGUUCUGAGGCCUUGCAGGUCUACUUGGUUCACGCCCUGUGGAUCUGCAGCUGUUUGUCUGGGCGCCGGGUCAGACGAGCCGGGUUCGGGGCGUGACAAUAAUUCUCUAACCAUGUCGAAAAAACUUCAUUAGUUGUAUUUAUAUAUAUCUGUGUUU